CGGCGUGCCUCAUUCCCGCCCGCCUUGCCUUUCCCCCCCUCUUCUUUCGCGGAAGGCGCCGCUUUCGGUCCGACUUGUUGGAGGCGGCUGUCUGGCUUCCAGCGACGGCAGCCGGCGAGGUUGCUGCCUCCUCACAGCAUGGGCAGCCCGUUGAGCGCGGCGACUCCUGCCGGUCUUUGGAGCUGCCUCCGGGAGCUGCUCGGUUGAGGCGCAGCCGGUCGGGAGAGCGCGGCUCCAGUGCCGGGCGGCGGCGGCGGCGGCAGCGCCUGCAACCCGAAAAGAGAGCCGCGCACACAAAGGCGCGCCCGGCUCCUCCUCAAGCCUUCCAACUUGGAUUUGGCAGUUCUAUCCAGAACUAGAAUCAUUGAAUGCCAGGGGAGCCAGUACAAUUUUUGUAUGGAUAUGCUUACAGACAUACAUUCUUCCUGUUUUUAGAGCAUUUUAUGGUACUUGAAGAAAUCCUGCAGGGGAUAAGUGUCCCAGUUAUCAAGGAAUUAUCAUAUGAAUCACUACAGAUUUUGUAAGGAUUCUAUAUGCGGAGUGGAGAUGUCCAAAACUUAGUCUUUGUACUUCUUAGUUGCUGCCCUUUCAUUCUUUCAUAAAAACU